GGCCUUCACCAUGGCAAUGGAGGUCAUCAUCCGAGCCUCUCGAUGGGUGGUAGGAGGCCAGCAGCUCAAAGCUGGUCUUCGUCUCCCUCCCAUCAGAGCGUACAUGGAUGACAUGACCACACUCACAACAACCAUGCCAUGUACAAGACGACUGCUGAAAAAGCUCCAGGAGAACCUCGAGUGGGCCCGGAUGAAGAUAAAGCCAAGCAAAUCCAGGAGCAUAUCAGUCGUCAAGGGCAAGCUGUCAGAGCAACGCUUCUUCAUCGGCGAUGAACCUAUACCAACUGUGUCAGAGAAGCCAGUGAAGAGCUUAGGGCGCUGGUACGAUGCCAACCUCAAGGACAAAGAUCAAGUGCACCAGCUUAGGCAGGACACAAUCUGCGGCCUUGAGAGUAUCGACAAGUCCCUGCUUCCUGGCAGGUUAAAGCUCUGGUGCCUUCAAUUCGGUCUUCUACCCCGGCUGAUGUGGCCUCUUACCAUCUAUGAGGUCCCUAUCUCAAAGGUUGAAAAACUGGAGAGGUUGAUCAGCUCGUUUGCCAGAAAGUGGCUGGGUCUUCCCAGGUGCUUCAGCAACAUAGGGCUGUAUGGAAGAGGCAUUCUGGAGCUGCCUGUGUCCAGUCUUACAGAGGAAUUCAAGUGCUCCAAAGUAAGGCUGGAAAUGACACUAACAGAAUCCCGUGACCUAUGUGUAGCCCAAACAGCUCCUACUCUGGCGACCGGAAGGAAAUGGACUGCAAGCGCAGCUACACAGCAGGCAAAGGCAGACCUAAGGCAUCGUGACAUCGUUGGCCUUGUGCAACAGGGGAGAGGAGGCUUUGGCCUCGGAGAGAGCAGACCAUCUUGGCACAAGGCAGCUCCAUCUCAGCGCAGAGGUCUGGUCGUUGAGGAGGUGCGCCGGCAAGAGCAGGCAACAAGGUGCGCAAAGGCUGUCUCCCAAUCGAAACAGGGACAGUGGAUGAGGUGGGAGGGAGUUGAGAGAAGGAAGUUCUCUUGGAAGGAACUGUGGAGUAUGGAAGCAUUUCACACCAGCUUCAUCUUACGAGCAACGUAUGAUGUCUUGCCAUCUCCCAGUAACCUUCAACAAUGGUACGGAGAAGACCCAACGUGCCCACUCUGCCCGUCUCCAGCAAACCUUAAACACAUCCUGGUUGGCUGCAAGACAGGCCUGACUCAAGGCUGUUACACCUGGCGGCACAACCAAGUGCUGAAGUGCCUUGCAGCUAUGCUGGAGACCAGACGAACGACCAUCAAUGCCCUACCUCCAUCAUCCCGUCCUAGAUCUGCAAGAGGUUUAGUCUGUGAAGGUGCAAAGCCAACCAAGACCCAGGCCAGUACAACAUCAGACCCCGGUCAGCUGGGAGGAGCGCGAGACUGGAGGCUCGUGGUGGAUCUGAGUCCAAGGCUCUACUUUCCACCAGAGAUCGCCACUACGAACCUCAGACCAGAUCUCGUGCUCUGGUCCUCCUCAACUAAGAAGGUGUACAUCGUAGAGCUGACUGUGCCCUGGGAGGACGCUGUAGAGGAGGCCUACGAACGAAAGAGCCUUAAGUACGCUGAGCUGGCAGCUGAUGCUGAGCAACGGGCUGGAAGGCCAAAGUUUGCCCAGUGGAAGUCGGCUGCAGAGGCUUUGUGGGUAAGACAACUACCAGGCUGCUUAAGGAUUUGGGAAUUCGAGGCCAAGCCCAACGCCAAGCCAUCAAAGCCCUCUCAAGAGCUGCUGAAUGGGCAAGCCGGUGGCUGUGGGUGAAGAGGAGAGACGCCACCUGGGCCCCAAAAUAGCAUCUGUGGCGCAGAAGGGUUAAAGCAGAGGGGGGCACAUCUGGGACGCCAGGUGUUGCCGAUGAGCCCUCUGGAGGUGUUGUGGGCCUAUCAUCGAAACACCGGAGAAGGAGGGUGCCCACCUGAUGACUCCAAUGAGGCUUUCUGACCCUUUUGUCCCACAGACAGCACCAUGACUCUUACCCGGAAACACCUUGCAUGUCUGCGUCAACCCACUUCACAUCUCAGGAGUGCAAAUCAACCAGGGAUUGUAAGACCUAGUCCUAAAACAGAACUCUAGUGUGGGGUUACAAUAUGACAAUUCAGUCUUGCUGGAGGGAUCUCACCCACACCUAUACGACUACUCUGGCAAGCAAGACAAAAUGGCACGCAGAGACGACCUGCAAGCAUGUGCAUAAACAAAGGUGCAUGAUGGACCUACUUUCAAAAGGUCGUGGAGGAGCUGACCUCUUCUCGGUUGGCGACGUUGCGCAGCUUGACGCCGCCGUCACGGAGCUCUUGCUCUCCUAAGAUGGCUACCAGCAGGAUGCCUGUCUCCUGGCUUGGGAGUUUGGGGUUAUGCUUGUAUAACACCUCCACCUGAAGUGAAAACACACACACACUCAUGAUCAGAUAAAAAAUAUCCAAUAUGUGAGAAUUUGUAGAUACAGAAAUAUGACACGCUCACCUUGAUUCCUGCAUUCCACAACUCUGAGGUGAGUUUAAGCCUCUCUUCUAGAAGGUUCUUCUGAGCUGAGGCUACCAGCACCUGUGUUUCUGUCGUGCGUAAUGGCUGAAACACCUGGGGGCAUGCAACGUACACCCAGCACAGAGCAUGGCUG
rnacentral:lncRNA from 1 species